rnacentral:lncRNA from 1 species
CGUGCUGUACGAAGAAGCUAGCUUUCGGGAUUUUCUCAAGUUCGUAUCGGAGAACGAUGUACUUGAAGGGAGAUACAUUGACACACUGAGGAAGGAGGGAAUCCAUUAGCCAUACAGAUACUCGUUAGUGUUAUCAAAUAAGUGUCAUUUGAAAUUAAAAAAAAAAUGGCUAAAAUUGGAGCAAAAUCAAACAGAUUAUCAUAUAAGUAGUAAAAGUGUGUAAUCCAUGAAACGAUCGAAAAACACUAAAUCAACAACAACAACAACAACAACAACAACAACAACAACAACCGCAAAACGCGUAAAAUCAUAUGAAUCGUCGGCCAAAAUUUUGAUCUUUUUCUCUCUCUCUCUCUCUACAGACGAAGAAAGGUUGAAUUUUCACUAUAUUACAACAGAAUUGAAACAUUACCUAACCAUCGUCGUUUCCCGCUUUUUACCGAUCUGCCUGCGAUUGUACAAUCGGUAACCGGACGGAAUUUGAAGCGGAGUUGAAUUUAGAAUGUGGAAUCGGAGAAUCGACGGCUGGUUGAAUCAUCGUACGUUUAAAAGCAGCCAUCGAAUUGAAUUGUAGUUUUGGUUAUGGCGGAGAAGAGAUCAAACGAAAGAGAAUUGUUCCAGCUUUCAAGCCUUGUUCUUGCCCCGGGAAGAUCAUUCUGCCCUAAAUGCCUUCGGCAUCUUAUGUUGCGUUUAAA